rnacentral:lncRNA from 1 species
UCGAUAUGUACAAAUACAACAUGGCAUCACAAAAAAACUCUACGACUCAAAGUAUUUAUUCAUUAGGCUCCGAGGAGCCAGAUAUUACAAACAUGGGUCUGAUGACCCAGCAUUCAAGUCAUACAAGCAAUAAGCACAUGUGGAAGCUUAACUUGUCUGAGUACAGACAACUACAAAUGAAAAGGCUGAGAAGCCUGACUAUCUAUAAGACCCUGCCGAGGGCACAAGAUCGUAGCUGAGGUAACAAGCUAAAUGUCGAAGUCCACACAGAACUACUAGUGAGACUGAAGUCUCUCUGCAAAACAUAAAUUAAGCAAACGUGAGUGCAAAUGUACCCAGCAAGACUUACAUCAGAACUAUCUAUAUAUGCAUCAGUAUCAACAAAGGGGGUGGUGGAGUUUAACUGCAGCAAGCCAGCUUUGACUCGGUGGCUAUCCUAAACUAUGAUUGCAAGUAACUCUUUUGAGGUGGCGCACACGAGUCCACAUAUUCACCAAAUCAAUACACCACUAUGGAUCCACUCCCGUCUCCCUACGAGAACGCCAUCCAUAGCACUCACACUUAUCUUGCACAUUUUUGAGUAUCCACUUUCACUUGUCUAUGAACUGUAUAGGCAACCCAGAGGUCCUUUACCGCGGACGCGGCUAUUCGAAUGGAUGAUGUUAACCCUACAGGGGUGUACUUCUUCAUACACACACUCAUCACUUAUCGCCAUUUACACGACAUGUACUCGGCAACCUUCAAGCGGAAGCACAGUGAGGGUGUCGGCCACGACCUGACUAACCACACAAGUCCCUAGUCCAGGUUUAUCGCCUAUUCAGGUUCCAUCCGCAGGGAGUCCGGCCGAGGUUUCCACAUACAGCCCGAACGAUCUGUGCAGGGUUCCCGAGGCACCAAACGGGCGUCCCGGUACACCGUGCCACGUGCCUACCGCAUCACAGCCCACCCCUCGGGUCAGCGCUGCAUACGGCCUCCAACAUACUACAAACACCAGAAACUACUUGCAACUCCCAGACAGAGGACAAGGGCGGUUAAUAAGUCGAGAAGGUCCAUUGGUUUCGCGCCCAACGCGUGGUAGUAGCUGUUAUGGAUCACAAACACGGAACUCAGUUCCUGAGGACGGUUUCAAUGAGACAACCCAUCAUGUACUCCUACAUGGCCUCUCACCGCUACCUUUACCAAAUCGUGUUCACACACUUAGCUCACACACAGUAGGACAUGUUCAUCACCAUUCCAAUUCAUCCCCGAUGAAUCAGACCUGACUGAACUCUAAGUAGUAGCAGGCAUGACAAACAAGCAUGAAUGAGUCAGCACAUCAGGGCUCAAACAACUCCUACUCAUUCUAGUGGGUUUCAUCUAUUUACUGUGGCAAUGACAGGUCAUGCAGAGGAAAAGGGGUUCAACUACCGCAGCAUGUAACCGAUGAAUCAUUGUUGUCCUAAUGCAAUAAAAGAGAGCAGGAGCGAGAGAGUGGGAUUGUAUCGGAAUGAACAAGGGGGUUUUGCUUGCCUGGCACUUCUGAAGAUAGUAUAGUUCUUCAUCGGUGUCAUCGAUCUCAUCGUCGAAACUACGUCCACUGAGAGGGGAAAAAUACCGACAAACACGGAAAGAACACAAUCAAAUGCCAUGCAACAAUAUGAUGCAUGAUCAUGACAUGGCAACAAGCUGUGAUUUGAGCUAAUGCAACAAGCAGUGAUUUAAAUCAAGUUGAUUUGAACCAAGGGUUCAAAUUCAAACUCCAUAUGUUAAUAUUCAUAUGGCAUUUAAUUGAUUUGACCUGAUCAGCAGGCAUAAGUUUCUCAAACAUGCAUGAAAAUGCCAUAAACAGAUUCUUUGUAUUUUUUUCUGAUCAUAUUUCAUAUAUAAUUUAUUUCAUUCUGAGCUACUGUUGAAUUUCUAUGAUUUUUAGAAGUUUAGGACAUUUUCUGAAAUAAAUAAUUCAUUUCUGAUUUAUUUAAAAUCCCAGAAAACAUUUACAGCGUCAGCAUGACGUCGGAGUGACGUUAGCGGGUCAACGGGUCGGUCCAGGUCAAACCUGGCCAGUGGGACCCAUAUGUCAGUGUCUAACUAACUAACCUAUGUUAAUUAGGACUAAUCUAAUCCUAAUCUAGAUUAGUUAAGGCCCGGGCCCACAUGUCAGUAUCAGCAGGGCUAAUUAAGUUUAGCGAACACUUAAACCAAAAUUAGCAGGGGCUAGGGCCCACUUGUCCGGACCCAGGGUUGGUCAAACCCCUAGUCAGCGGGGUCAAACCCGCCGGUGACUCGACACCGGCGAGGCCAGAUGCGGCGGAGGGCCUCGGAUUUGGUCCUCCGGUGACCAAAUCAAUGGCGGAGACGUGCUACGCGUAGCUGGGGAGCUGCCGCAUCCAGUGGUGCAAGUGGUUGGACACGGGGACGCCGGAAACGACGCCGGCGAGCUCGACAGUGGCGGCCAGAGUUCGGGCACGCAUGGGCACGACAUUGUGGCGAGCGGCAGGACGGGCGGUGGUUGCUACGGGCACGUCAGGACGCGCUGAGCACGGUGGUGUGCUCGGCUUCAAGCUACGUCCGCUCUAGCCACGGUGGCGACGAAGCGCAACGGCGGCGAGCUUCGGUGACGGUAGGGAAUGGCGCUAUGGCAUGCAAAUGAGAUGGAGAAGAGGGGGGUUCGGGGGAGGAGCUCACGACGGUUGCAACACGUGUCUCAGCGGGCUCGGGGAAGGCCGGACAGUGAAGUGGCGUUGCCGGCGAUCUCGGGCGCUAGAGGUUGAAGACAAAAGCGAUGGCAGUGUUGCAGGGGCUCCCGUGGUGCGUUUCUCGGCAAGGAGGAUGAGGUGGUCCACGCGGAGCUCUUGGGCAGCUCCAGGGGGCGAGCGAGAGGCGAUAGCCAUGGCUAUGGUUAGCGACGGCGACGGUGGCGCUCGGGUGGUUGCGUGCGGGAGAGACAGAGGAGGGGAGAGGAGGAGUGGACAGGCCAUAGGGGUCCGGGGUGAUGUGUGGCGUCGUCCAGACGCGUCGGGGCAGCGGCGGGAAGCAGCAUGUGGCGGGGCGCGUGCUCGCGCGCGGCGGCUGCGCGCGCGCUGUCCUCCUGGUGGGAGGUAGGUGGUCACUGGCAGAGGCCAGUGGGAUGGGCCUCUGCUGGGCCACCAGGUAAGCACAGGUGAGGUUCCUCUCUCUCUAACAUUUCACUUGAAUUUAAACAUGAUGACAUGAAGAUCAAGCAAAGGCAACAGGGGCUGAGCUAGGGCUGUGGCACUUCUCGUUUGCACCAUCACCAUCCAUGAAACUUACAAUCAAGAUGUAGGCCGGGUUGGGCGGGUGUGUGUUGCGCAUUGGUAGGCGACGACGUCAAAUUUGGGGCAGGGCAGUCCGCUCCUCCAGUCUGUCACGCGAUGCAUCAGAGAUUACACAUAUGCAAUCUCAAGCACUGAUUUUCUAUACAAAACAUUUACUCACUGGCACAAAACAGACGAAAAGAUCAGUCCUAGCUUUUUGUUCACUUGCUAACUGAAGUGUAGCAUCUAUGAAUCUUUCAAACUUGAAUCAAAUAGGGAUCAGACAGGAACUUGUUCAUGAACUUAUUUGUUCAUGGAUUUACAUCAAACAGGGAAUCAAAGCAGGCACUGGCAAACAUUGGACUACUAUAAAGUACAGGCAACGCCCAACUUAUAGAGAUUGGACGCCCAGUUUAAACAGAAAAAAGUACGCGCAACGGUAGUACACGCCCAAAUUAGACAGACUGAUUUUCAUUUCUUUGAAAGCGCAAAUCUCCAAGCAAUAUUCAACAAGCGUUGGACUAAUAUGAGUACAGGUUAGUACAAGUCCAUCUUACACAGUUUGGUUCCUUGCCCCCUUACAUGAUUGAUAUACACCAACUCUAUGAUACCCAGAUUUUAAAAGUAAUGAGUUAUAGAUCAAGUAAGAAAUCAUGGAUCAAGUAAGAAAUCAUGAAGACUGAACCUGGUAUUCAAUGCUAAGCAGUGGACAUGAUGACUUGUGCUACUUGCGCUGCAUCAUCAACCAAUUUGAGCUAUCAUAGAAAAUUGCCACAACCUCCAGCAUCAACAGUGGCAUAUCAUUCUCGCCUUGACCAAUUACCUGAAUACAAAUGAAUCAAAUCUGACCCUAAAUCUGUCUCUGUAGCAAACAGAGAGAAGCUGAGUCACUCACCUCGGUCGCAUCUGCUGAAAAGUAGUACUUGGGGCAGGGGGCAGAGAAGUUGGUAGCCGUGACGACGAUGGAGGUGCCGGGAGGCAGUACUUGAGGUCCAUCACGCAACCCCAACUCGUCCACCAAUGCCGCCCGCGCAUGCUCACUCCCCAUGGACCUGUGGGGAGUAGGGGUGGGGGACAGAAUAGGGAGGGAGUAUGGAGAAGGGGAGGAUGGAGCGCCGGGAGCAUGUCAUCCACCAUGGUUGGGCCUGGGAGGAGUAGUGGUGGGGGUAGAUGAUGGAGAAGAGGGGCGGAUGGAGCACCGGUGUGCAGGCCGGAGAGGCGGCGGCUCCAACCCUAGCUCGUUCCUACAUGGGGGAAAGGAGGGGGUGAAGGCGAGGCAGCUGUCCACCCGGGGAGCACCCCCUCCCUGAUCCACUGGCUCGCGCGUGGAGGCGGCGGCGCCAUGCCCGUACGCAUCCGGGAGGAGAUGUCCGUCUUCGUGUCUGCUAGUGUUUUUCUUUACAAUGAAACAUUUUCUCCGUUG